rnacentral:ncRNA from 1 species
CGAUUUGGUGCCAUGGCAACAUGGAGAAUAGGGAAGGAAAAAACACGAUGUGUCCAUCGCUGUAUGAAGCGAGUGAAUGUACAACAAUGCCACUGGGAUGACCGGGAAGGCGUAUAUUCACGAUGAGCUUGAGUCAGAAGACCUGCCAAAUCC